rnacentral:rRNA from 1 species
UACGGAGGGAGCUAGCGUUGUUCGGAAUUACUGGGCGUAAAGCGCACGUAGGCGGCUUUGUAAGUUAGAGGUGAAAGCCUGGGGCUCAACUCCAGAACUGCCUUUAAAAACUGCAUCGCUUGAAUCCAGGAGAGGUGAGUGGAAUUCCGAGUGUAGAGGUGAAAUUCGUAGAUAUUCGGAAGAACACCAGUGGCGAAGGCGGCUCACUGGACUGGUAUUGACGCUGAGGUGCGAAAGCGUGGGGAGCAAACAGGG